CGGGAUUCAAGCCGGUGGGCGGUGCCGUGGAACGGUGCGCCAAGACGUCAACGUGCUCGCUGUGCGUCGGCACGCAGGUCCCGCCUCCUGAGGACGGUGUCCAGCCAGCACAGAGACUGCACUCAAGGGAUGUGGGAACGGCUGAUUGAACGUGAACUGCGGUCAUUAAAUCUUUUAUGUCUGUGUUAAUAUCUACAAAUAAGCCUUAAUUUCUGUAGUUUCUGCAUAUCUCACACGGUUCCUGGCAAAUUGAAGAGUGUUUCAUGAAUUCAGGACUUUAUUGUGUUUGCUGUGAAUCAGUUUGUUUUGUACUGACGAUGAUGUUGGCUAACUCCCUUGUAACUAGUACUUAUUUGAAAUAAUGUCCUCGGGAUUAUUUUAAGCAAUGUUUAAGUAUGAAAUCAUUUCAUUCUCCUAACAUCUCAAGGAAUAUACUAUUAUAUUCUACUUUACAAAAGGGGAAACUGAGGAACGGGGAAGUUAAGUGGAAGCUAAGUGGAAGAAUCCAGAUAAUUGACCUCUCCUUCUAUUGGUAUGCAAUUGCUAGAGCAAUGAUAGUCCUCCGGUAGAGCCUUAGACAUUGUGUUUAUUGCAUUCCUGUUCCACCCACUGCAUUCCGGAUACUCCAACUUACUUCCAACACACAUAUGCAGGCGUCUCUAAAAUUCCGGAGAUAUGGUCACCAAUUAUUUUUAUGUGCGACAUGCUCAAAUCUUAAUAUAGUAAACGCUUGUAUAUUCAUAAACCAGCUUAAUAAAUGAAACAUUACCAUUCCUGUUGAAGAGCUUUGUGUAACCACCUUCCCAAUCACGACUACUCUCUGACUCUGAGAUAACUGCUCUUCUGAACUUGGUAUUCAUCGUUGCAAUGUAUGUCUUUAUAUUUCUGCUACAUAUGAAGAAAUGAAGAGAGCCAAAAAUGACAACAAAUGGAUUAACCCAACGAACUCCAUAAAUAUUUAUUUUUUCCCCUUUCUUUUCUCAGCUUCUUUAAAAGAUGUAAGAUGAUAUAAAGUAAUAAUAAUAACAAUGUACUGUUGGAUAUGUAAGAUAUAUAAAUGUAAUAAUGGCAAAAAUGGUGGGAGGGCGUCAGGCGUCAUGGCUCAUGCCUGUAAUCUCAGAACUUUGGGAGGCUGAGGCAGGCAGAACACUUGAGCCCAGGAGUUCAAGACCAGCCUAAGCAACAUGGGGAGACCCUGUCUUUCCAAAAAUACAAAAAUUAGCCCAACAUGGUGGCGUACACCAGUAGUCUCAGCUACUUGGGAGGUGGGAGGAUUGCUUGAGCCUAGGAGGUUGAGGCUGCAGUGAGCCAUGAUUGUGCCACUGCACUCCAACCUGGGUGACAGAGUGAGAUCUUGUCUUUAAAAAAAAAAUGGUGGGAGAGAAUGGAGCCAUAUAGAAUACAGUUUCUAUAUUUCACUGGAAUGAAGUUAGUAUAAAUCUAAAGUAGAUUCUGAUAAGAUGAAUACCAUAAGCUUUAGGGCAACUAUUAACUAAAGAAAUACAAUUAGAGAUUAUUAACACAAUUACAUGUUACACUAGAAAAUAUCCACUCAAUAUAAAAGGAAACAGGAAAGGAAGAAUACAGGAACAAUAAUAAAGAAACCUGUAGAAAACAAAAGGCAAAUGACAGACAUAAAUCCUACCAUAUCAAUAGCAAAAUUAAAUGUGAAUGCAUAAACAAUUGAAUCAAAAUGCAGAUAUUGUCAAACUGGAUUUUUAAAAGAUCAAAAUAUAUGUUAUCUGUAGAAGACACACAUUACAUUCAAAGAUACAAAUAUAUUCUAAGUAAAAGGGUGAAAAAAUAUAUAUCAGGCAAGUGGCCAAAAUAAGAAUGCUGGAAUUGCUAUACUAAUACCAGAAAAACAUAGAUUUUAAAAUGAAAAAUAUUAUUAGCUAUAAAGAGGAACAUUUUAUAAUUAAAGAAGAUCACUCCAUCAGGAAACACAAAAAUUGUAAACAUAUAUGCACAUAAUAAGACAGUACCAAAAUACAUGAAGACCACUAACAGAAUAGAAGGAUGAAAUAGAUAAUUCAAUAUUAGUUGAGGACGUCAAUAUACCACCGUUAGGGCUAGGCAUGGUAGCUCACACCUGUAAUCCCAGAGAUGUGAAAGGCCGAGAUGGGAGGGUUGCUUGAGGUCAGGAUUUGGAGACCAACCUGGGCAAUAUAGUGUCAUCUCAUCUCUUAAAAAAAAAAAAAAAGCCAGGUGUGGUGGUGUGUACCUGUAGUCCUAGCUAGUAGGAAGGCUGAGGCAGGAAGAUUACUUGAGCCCAGGAGUUCAAGGCUGCCACUACACACCAGCCGGAGUGACAGAAUGUGACCCUGUCUCUAAAUAAAUAAAUAAAAUAAAAAUUAAAAAUACACCGCUGUAAAUAGAUGAUAGAUCAAGUAGGCAGAAGAUUAACAAGGUUAUAAAAGACUUGAACAACACAAUAAAUUAACUAGACCUAGCAAACAUUUAUAGAACGCUCAACCCAACAAUAGCAAAAUAUUCUUCUCAAGUGCAUAUAAAACUUUCUCCAGGAUAGAUCAUAUGCUAGGUCUUUAAAAAAGAUAUUGAAACCCUCAUACAUUGCUGGUGGAAAUGUAAAAUGGUGCAGCCAUUUUGCAGGACAGUUUGAGGGUUCCUCAAAAUGUUAAACAUAGACUUACCCUGACCCAUCAUUUCAACAGCUGGAUGUAUACUCAAGAAAAAUAAAAACCUGUGUCCACACAAAAACAUAUACAAAGAUGUUCAUGGAAGUGUAUUUAUAAUACCAAAAAGUGGAAAUAACCCAAGUGUCAAUCUACUGAUGAAUAAACAAAAUCUAUCAAUGAAAUAUUAUUCAGCCAUAAAAAGAAAAUAAAGUGUUGAUAUAAGUGACAGCAUGGAUGACUCAUGAAAGCAUUAUGCAAAGUAAAAGAAGUCACUCACUGAAGAACAUGCUAUAUGAUUCCAUGUAUAUGAAAUGCCCAGAAUAAGCAAAUUUCUAGAGACAAAAAGUAGAUGAGUGGUUGUCUAGGGCUGAGAAGGUUCCUGAGAAUGGGGAAUGAGUGUAAUGUUUUUCUUUAGGAGGAGGAUAAAAAUCUUCUAAAAUUGGAUUAUGGUAGUGGUUGCACAGCUUUGUGGAUAUAGUAAAAACCAUUGAAUUGUAUAUAUUAAAUAAAUAUAAUUAAGGUAUGUGAAUUAUAAUUCAAUAAAACUGUUAAAAUUACAAAUUUUGUGCUUUUCAAUUGGAAAAUUCAUCCAAAAUUACAAAUUCUUAAAAGAAUGCAACCUAGCUAGGAGUGGUGGUGGGCACCUGUAGUCCCAGCAACUUGGGAGGCUGAGGUGGGAGAAUCACCUGAGGCCAGG
rnacentral:lncRNA from 10 species